CAGCCGCCGCGGUAAUACCGGCGGCCCGAGUGGCGGUCACUAUUAUUUUGCUUAAAGCGUCCGUAGCCGGGUUGGGAAGUCCUCCGGGAAAUCUGGCCGCUUAACGGUCAGAAUGCCGGAGGAUACUCCCAGCCUAGGGAGCGGGAGAGGCCGAGGGGAUUCCCGGGGUAGGGGUGAAAUCCUAUAAUCCCGGGAGGACCACCUGUGGCGAAGGCGCUCGGCUGGAACGCGUCCGACGGUGAGGGACGAAGGCCAGGGGAGCAAACCGGAUUAGAUACCCGGGUAGUCCUGGCUGUAAACGAUGCGGACUUUGUGUCGGACAAGCUAUGAGCUUGUCCGGUGCCGGAGGGAAACCGUUAAGUCCGCCGCCUGGGGAGUACGGCCGCAAGGCUGAAACUUAAAGGAAUUGGCGGG
rnacentral:rRNA from 1 species